ensembl:lncRNA
CUGUAGUAACUAGUGACGACCCCUAACAACGUGAUGCAACACAGUAGCUGCGCGUGUCCAAAAACACUAUUAAGAGAUGACUACAGGAGGAUUACGCAAUGUAGCUGGCAAGAGCUGUUCUCAAUGGAAGGUUUCUGAAAUACACUCUCUCCAAGGCGAAGUGACCGUGAAAGAUCAUAGUCAUCCAUCUCGGUGGAAACGACUUGGAACACACAAAGGAGACAGCCCUGGUGCGUCAGACGACAGCAGACUUCGAGGUAGUCAUCGGAAUGUUCCCUGGGACAAUGGUCGUCUACUUUGACAUCACACAGUGGACUAGUUAGAUGUUCCAGUGGAAGGAGGACAUCAACAAGCACAUAGAGAUGUCCCAGUGCUCCGUGACAAGCGCAUGCCCACAAUCCGCCACUUUGCCAUACAUCAGUGUGGGCAGUGUAGUAGAACAGGGUUUCCCAAAUUUGGUCCUGCCAUGUAGUCUUCUGGACUUUGUACAAACAAGCUAACGUUAGCUAGUUAUUUACCUAGCUAAUCAAAAUAUCUGUUUGCAUUGAUUAACCUCAGUUUGAAUACCACCAUAUAGCAAGCUAUAGACAGUAGUCUAGGGCUUCGUUUCAAACUCAAAGUAGACCGCCCUCGGCCCUAAACCCUCAGCCCUUGAAUGACGUUUUACAAUGUCACAUCCAAGUGUACCUUAAAUGUCCCUUACCCAAGCUAGGGAGAGUGAUGAUCGCAGAGGCAACGACCUUGGUGGAAAUCUUGAAGUUGAGCUUAAAAACAACCAACCUAAAGCUAUUAAUGUACCUAGUAAGCUAACAUAGCUAGGUAGCCCACCUGCCAUGUUGCUAGCUACAGUUACCCAUAGCUGACUAGCUAGUUUUAUAGUUUGGUAAUUUAUUCCAAUACAUUUCAGAAUUGCCAAAAAUAUGUUUAUGAAUCUAGCAAUGAGACUAAGCCAAGGAGGAGGAAAAUGCAAAAGAUAAAAGGUAUGCAGCUAUGUCAUCUCUUCAUGAGUAUAAUAUUAUGCAUGUAAUGAAAUAGGCUAGUAUAACACUUAUUUGUUAGCCUAUGUAGCUAUGUUGCUUGCUAUGCUAUUACACACAGAGCGACAAUAUUCCGUUUUCUGUCCAACUAGCUGACAUAACAUUGGAUAUAAUUUCAGUUUCAUCAUGAUAAUGUGUGCAGCCUGCAGCAAAACUAUUACAACCUAACUAGCACGUUAUUGAUUUGGUUCACUUUCAUUGAGGUGACAUCAUAAAGGUUUUCUGUGAUUGUAUUGACUAGGUCCUGAGCACAGUAAGAUGAAUUUCCAAUGCUGUAGGUUAACUUAAAAGACAUCUAUAUUAUGUUGAUAUCUUGUAUUUUGUGUGAUAUAUUGAACCUUUUGGGGUGUUUUAUGCCUAGAAUUAGCCAAGGAGGUUGUAUGAUUAAUUUGGUUCCUAUUCUGAAAGUUUGAUAAAUUGUGCAUAAUGAGAUGUAUAUUUUAAAGGUGCGAC